rnacentral:rRNA from 1 species
AUUGAACGCUGGCGGCAUGCUUUACACAUGCAAGUCGAACGGUAACAGGCCGCAAGGUGCUGACGAGUGGCGAACGGGUGAGUAAUGCAUCGGAACGUGCCCAGUCGUGGGGGAUAACUACUCGAAAGAGUAGCUAAUACCGCAUACGAUCUAUGGAUGAAAGCGGGGGACCGUAAGGCCUCGCGCGAUUGGAGCGGCCGAUGUCAGAUUAGGUAGUUGGUGGGGUAAAGGCUCACCAAGCCAACGAUCUGUAGCUGGUCUGAGAGGACGACCAGCCACACUGGGCCUGAGACACGGCCCAGACUCCUACGGGAGGCAGCAGUGGGGAAUUUUGGACAAUGGGCGCAAGCCUGAUCCAGCAAUGCCGCGUGCAGGAAGAAGGCCUUCGGGUUGUAAACUGCUUUUGUACGGAACGAAACGGCUCUGGUUAAUACCCGGGGCUAAUGACGGUACCGUAAGAAUAAGCACCGGCUAACUACGUG